GGCAUUAUCUCUGCUUGACUUUUGAAGGUUUGAGAUUAGUAACAUUAUUCUUCUUUCUGAAUUGCCAUGGAGUCUUGGAAGGAGAAAACUUUUCCUCCAGAUUGGCCAUUUGUGUUACUGACAGCAUCCCUGGUCCUGAAGCAGAAGAGAAUACCAUGCAGUUGAAAUGAUGUGAGAAGCAGAAAGCAAUAACAUUAACUACAAUUCCAAAAUUAAGGAAUUCCAAGGAGUUCAUGAAAACAUAACUGAGAAGGGAUUAGUCUUUCAUUGCUCUUCAUUCCAUAUGAGACUGUGUUCUUUGGGGACAAAAAUCCCAUCAUAGCCAUUUCUAUUUCUGCAGUGCUUCUGGAGUACUUCUUACUUAAUAUAUGGUCAUUAGUAUUAAAAUAGGAAAUAUCGCAUCUGUUAGAGACUUCUAUUUCAACUCUGUUUAGCCAUAUGUAUUUAUUUUAUUUUUAUUUUUUAAGGAUU
rnacentral:lncRNA from 12 species